UCGAGGUGGCGGUGGUGGUAGUUCAUCGAGGUCGGAGAUCGUCGGUGGGACGUUGGAUCGAAAACGAAUUAAUGAUGCGUUGGAUAAGCACUUGGAAAAAUCUGCACCUUCCACAUCUAGAGCCUUGAAGGACAAGGCGGUUCCGUCUACCUCCGUAGGUGCCGGAAAAUUGCAUCAGCAACAUGUUGAUCAUCGAGACACCCGCUCUUCUUCUAGUCUUGCUACGAAGAAUAAAUGCUCAGAUGAUGAAUCUGAAACAGACAGUGAAGAGUCUGAUGUUAG
rnacentral:misc_RNA from 1 species